rnacentral:rRNA from 1 species
AGUGAACGCUGGCGGUAGGCCUAACACAUGCAAGUCGAACGGCAGCACAUUAAGAGCUUGCUCUUACGGGUGGCGAGUGGCGACGGGUGAGGAAUACAUCUGAAUCUACUUUUUCGUGGGGGAUAACGUAGGGAAACUUACGCUAAUACCGCAUACGACCUACGGGUUAAAGCCGGGGAUCUUUGGACCUUGCGCGUUUUAAUGAGCCGAUGUUGGAUUAGCUAGUUGGCGGGGUAAAGGCCCACCAAGGCGACGAUCCGUAGCUGGUCUGAGAGGAUGAUCAGCCACACUGGAACUGAGACACGGUCAAGACUCCUACGGGAGGCAGCAGUGGGGAAUAUUGGAAAAUGGGCGCAAGCCUGAUCCAGCCAUACCGCGUGGGUGAAGAAGGCCUUCGGGUUGUAAAGCCCUCUUGUUGGGAAAGAAAAGCAGCAGGUUAAUACCCCGCUGUUCUGACGGUACCCAAAGAAUAAGCACCGGCUAACUUCGUG